rnacentral:rRNA from 1 species
UGGGGAAUCUUGGACAAUGGGGGCAACCCUGAUCCAGCCAUGCCGCGUGAGUGAUGAAGGCCUUAGGGUCGUAAAGCUCUUUCGCCUGUGAAGAUAAUGACGGUAGCAGGUAAAGAAACCCCGGCUAACUCCGUGCCAGCAGCCGCGGUAAUACGGAGGGGGUUAGCGUUGUUCGGAAUUACUGGGCGUAAAGCGCACGUAGGCGGACCAGAAAGUUGGGGGUGAAAUCCCGGGGGCUCAACCCCGGAACUGCCUCCAAAACUAUUGGUCUAGAGUUCGAGAGAGGUGAGUGGAAUUCCAAGUGUAGAGGUGAAAUUCGUAGAUAUUUGGAGGAACACCAGUGGCGAAGGCGGCUCACUGGCUCGAUACUGACGCUGAGGUGCGAAAGUGUGGGGAGCAAACAGGAUUAGAUACCCUGGGUAGUCCACACCGUAAAACGAUGAAUGCCAGUCGUCGGGUAGCAUGCUAUUCGGUGACACACCUAACGGAUUAAGCAUUCCGCCUGGGGAGUACGGUCGCAAGAUUAAAA